rnacentral:rRNA from 1 species
UACAGAGGUCCCAAGCGUUGUUCGGAUUUACUGGGCGUAAAGGGUGCGUAGGUGGCGAGGUAAGUUCGAUGUGAAAUCUCCGAGCUCAACUCGGAAAUGGCAUUGAAUACUAUCCCGCUUGAGGGUCGGAGGGGAGACUGGAAUUCUCGGUGUAGCAGUGAAGUGCGUAGAUAUCGAGAGGAACACCAGUGGCGAAGGCGAGUCUCUGGGCAACAACUGACGCUGAGGAGCGAAAGCGUGGGGAGCGAACAGG